rnacentral:rRNA from 1 species
UACGUAGGGUGCAAGCGUUAAUCGGAAUUACUGGGCGUAAAGCGUGCGCAGGCGGUUUUGUAAGUCUGGCGUGAAAUCCCCGGGCUCAACCUGGGAAUUGCGUUGGAGACUGUAAGGCUGGAGUCUGGCAGAGGGGGGUAGAAUUCCACGUGUAGCAGUGAAAUGCGUAGAGAUGUGGAGGAACACCGAUGGCGAAGGCAGCCCCCUGGGUCAAGACUGACGCUCAUGCACGAAAGCGUGGGGAGCAAACAGG